rnacentral:pre_miRNA from 1 species
AGCGAUGUUGGUGAGGUUCAAUCCGAAGACAGAUUUGCACAUYCCCGCCCGCGUAAAUUGAUCUCAGAUUGAGCCGCGCCAAUAUCACU